AUUGAACGCUGGCGGCAGGCCUAACACAUGCAAGUCGAGCGGAUGAAGGGAGCUUGCUCCUGGAUUCAGCGGCGGACGGGUGAGUAAUGCCUAGGAAUCUGCCUGGUAGUGGGGGAUAACGUCCGGAAACGGGCGCUAAUACCGCAUACGUCCUGAGGGAGAAAGUGGGGGAUCUUCGGACCUCACGCUAUCAGAUGAGCCUAGGUCGGAUUAGCUAGUUGGUGGGGUAAAGGCCUACCAAGGCGACGAUCCGUAACUGGUCUGAGAGGAUGAUCAGUCACACUGGAACUGAGAAACGGUCCAGACUCCUACGGGAGGCAGCAGUGGGGAAUAUUGGACAAUGGGCGAAAGCCUGAUCCAGCAAUGCCGCGGGCGUGAAGAAGGUCUUCGGAUUGUAAAGCACGUUAAGUUGGGAGGAAGGGCAGUAAGUUAAUACCUUGCUGUUUUGACGUUACCAACAGAAUAAGCACCGGCUAACUUCGUG
rnacentral:rRNA from 1 species